rnacentral:tRNA from 1 species
GGGGUUAUAGUUAAAAAAUAACAUUUAAAUUGCAAUUAAAAAUUAUCUUA